CAACAAUAUAUGCAUUUAACAACUUCUUUGGCUUCCCUAAUUUCCAUACCAGCAAUAUGUAAAUAUAGGCAUUUUUAUUCAGUCAGUAGAGGGCGCUUUUCUAAGAGCUCCAUAUUGUUGGUGUAUCUGAGUGUAAACCAGAGCCCCACAGCAAAAAUACUCACAGUUAUGUGCCUGUAAACUACAAUAAAUGUGUUUAAAUAAGAUCCAUU